CGAACGCUGGCGGCGUGCUUAACACAUGCAAGUCGACCGGAAAGGCCUGCUUUCCCUUGUGGAUUGCGGGUGCUCGAGUGGCGAACGGGUGAGUAACACGUGAGUGAUCUGCCCCCAACUUGGGUAUAAGCCUGGGAAACUGGGUCUAAUUCCCGAUAGGACUGCAGGGUGGUGCCUGUGGUGGAAAACGAUUUUCUAGUGGUUGGGGAUGAGCUCGCGGCCUAUCAGCUUGUUGGUGGGGUAAUGGCCUACCAAGGCGGCGACGGGUAGCCGGCCUGAGAGGGUGGACGGCCACAUUGGGACUGAGAUACGGCCCAGACUCCUACGGGAGGCAGCAGUGGGGAAUAUUGCACAAUGGGCGGAAGCCUGAUGCAGCGACGCCGCGUGGGGGAUGACGGCCUUCGGGUUGUAAACUCCUUUCGACCGCGAGGAAGCCACCUGGUUGGAAGGGUGGUGACGGUAGUGGUAGAAGAAGCACCGGCUAACUACGUG
rnacentral:rRNA from 1 species